UGCGGACACAUCACAUUCAAACACCGGUUCCUGUAUGAUCACCGAAGUUAAGCAACGUCGAGCCUAGUCACUACCUAGAUGGGUGAGCGCCUAGGAAUACCAGGUGAUGCAAG